CUUAGGCAAUGUGGCAAUUGCUGAAAACGCUGCUCUCGUGAUCCAAUUAAUCUACCCCUAAGGGACCCACAGCAACUAUAGCAGUUAGUGAGGCCCAAAUGGAAAACGCUACAAACAAGGAAAAAGCGAGAGACAGCAGACAUUUUCAGGACUGUAUAUGAGCUGUGCUGUAAGCUUUUCUCCACCUGCAAUUUCAACCAAGAGGGCUUGAUGCUGAGUCUGCAAUUGCACCAAGUGCUCCCUUUACAUAUUGUGUGGGAUCUGAUAAAUUUUUGCAGGAUUUUUUCCAGCUGUGCUCUCAUCACAUUGAUUUAAUGGCCCUUAAGAGAAACCAUAAAAGUGCUUUCUGGUUAGUGGGCCCCAGCUGUUCCUCAUAGUAUUGCAUAAUACAGCAGGCUGAGUUAACUAUAGAUUAAUGAUUAUGAAAUGUCUUGCUUAACCAUAUAAUUUUUCAAACAUACAAGGGAUUGGACAAAAUGUGGUUCACUGAGGUAACAAGAUGACUACUUUCAGGAGUAGAAAAGGCUUAAGAGGACUGAAGGGUGAUGGCUCACUGCUGGAAGCAUUUCUCUGUUUUCAUUACCAAGCAACGGUGCAAGAAGCCAACAGUAUCAUUUGAGGAUUAUCAUGCUCUCUUCUGAAGCCGAGAGUAUUGCAAGUCUGUAUAAAACUGAGUACUCCUACGUCAUCUGAACUCCUGCUGCUGCUCUACAAACUCGACAGCAGUUGAGCAACAAGAAGUACAGCUAGAGCUCAUCUGUGUAACUUGCCAAGCAUCCUACAAAAUGAAAUAGCAGUGACAAACCAAGGAAUCUGAGAACAUUCUUAUUCAGAGGCAGAAAUCAAACUAAAAUUGAACUUGAAGAGAGAUAAAGCAUCUGAAAAGCUCUGAAUCCCUGAGCCGACGUUGACAUAUUCUCACACUGAAAAGCUUCCCUUAAAAACUGCAGUGUCACUGGAAUGGGAGCCCAGAUAAGUACCUGCCUAUACCAAAGGUAUAAUCUGUCUCAUCACUUGUAACAGGCAACGGAGCAGAUCUCUGGCACGUGGGCUAGUCUUUGAAGCCCUACAGAAGGUUGUGUUGGUGUUGUCUUUCUCUGACAGAGAGUGAAGCCAGGUCACAGCCAGAAAGUACAUGAGGCCACAAAGAAGCAAAGAUUUUAGCUACAUGUUCAGCCUUUUCCCAGAAGCAAUACAGCCUCGCUGGUCAAUGUUCAACAGAUACUGCAUGUUGUGGGAUCCAGCUUACUGUUAAGAACUAUGUGCUGAGUUGUCAACGUUUGGACAGCACUGGGCUACACACAGAUUUUCAUGAAGGCUGAUUCCUUACAUGCUGGUUAAACAUUACUAUUCCAACAAGAGAAAAGCUGAUCUGAAAUCCCAUUGGUGUCAGUUACUGGAGGUGCUGUCUAGAAGGAAAGCACCCUAUAGUCUCCCUUCCAUUUUUUCUCAUCUGUUACUGCCCAUGACAAACAGAUUCAUUCUAAGUGGAAAUUUCAAGCCCAGUGAUACUGUCCCUUUCCUCGUCAGUCAACAGAGAGAUGCGUACACUGCAGAAGGGACAUGUGCCUCCCCAGAGCUACAGCCAAACCUACCGUGAUUUUGAGGACCAUCAGCAAAGGUCAGAGCAUCACUCUGCCAAGCCAUAAUGCAUCUAUCAACAUAAAGUCAAAGUCUGUCCCCAGGACUGCUAUGUGAAUAACACUGGAACUUUAAACUGUGCAGUUCACACCCUGUAUACAUACAAGAAAUUGAAGAAAUUCACAAUAAUUAACCUUAUUUGCAUUGUUCCAGCAGAAGGGAUGAGAAAGUGUUUCCAAAAGCAUUUGCAAAAAAUGUUCAUAGAGGUGCCUUCUGCAACGCGAGGCUCUCCAUGGAAGAGCCCACAGAAGUAUAGUUAGUGCUUUUAAGUCAGCCCUGCACUGAGUAGAUUAGCUAAGAGAGAAGAAAAUGACACAGUGAAAGAACCUUGUUAAAAAUAUAGAUUAAAUUGACGAAGCCCAAAAGUUCUAAGUAAAUAUCUGUUUUUUGUUAAAAAUAAAAAAAAAAUUAAAAAAAAAAAAAAAAAAGGAAAGAAAGAAUGUCAUUAUCAAUUCUGAAACAGCUGUUGUUCAGACACAGACGCAGUUCCCAUCAUUACACCGUAGAGAUACAGUUUCCUUAUCCCUCAUGUCUCCCUGCUCUUCUUGGCUGGGGAACGUGCUCAGGAUUUGUUGAGAAAGAAGUAUAUAUGAAUUCAGUCAUUCUUGUAUCUUGCUCACCUUGUAGAUAUAGGUGUAGACAUAUAACAAGAACAGUGGAAUAAGGCCAGAGUAUCCUGACUGUUGAUAAGGAUGGAUAAGAAGCAGAAAAUAGCAUUCGUGUUUAAAUCAAAAGAUAUCUAGCAGGUAUGAUGUCAGGACAAGCAGGCCUAUUGGUGUCCCUUUAAAGUACAGGAGAAGAGGAAUAGCUAAACUUAGUGUAUAUUUUUAUAAUCAGCUUUUUUUGUGAUCCUGAAAACUCACAUAUUUACUUCUCACUACAUGUGCUUCCAUCAAACUUCAAAGUAUGGACAACUCAGUUCAAAAUUGCAUUAUACCUCUUAGUUGGCUGUUGGCUAUAUAUACUGCGGAAGGACUGAACAAAAGAAUCAUGUAACUUGUCUUCUGGUAGUAACAGAAAUAUUAGUGGCAUAGACCAAGCUGUUGAUUUGUUACAUUUCAGGCCUCAGGUAAUAAUUUCACAGCUCUGCUGCAGGGUAGAACUAAAAGUACAUUGUUUUCUGACAAAAUGUAAUCAGAAUUGGUGACUAUCCAGAUUUCUAUGUAAGCAUUUGGUGUGAUGCUGUGUGUUUGUGUGUGUAUGCAUAUAUCUAUGUUUAUCUGUAUCUUGUCUUAACUGAUAUAAUGUAGACAGCACAAUGCAUUUUCCUCCAAAGACCUAUAAACUGAGCUCUAUUGAAUAGCUUAUGAUACCAGAACCAUCUUUUCUGUUUAAUGGUGUAAUGUAUCUUCUGUAGACACGAAAAUCUGGAAAAUCACAUUAAUGCUAGGUUUAAUUAGAGUAAUGAUCAAAUUUGGAGGUUAGGCUUGAAAAAUACGUAUCCAGAUUGUCAAAAUUUCUUCAUCAAAGGUUCCUAUUGGAUGCCUGUGCUCGCUAACUUACUGUCUUCGGAGGCCUAUCAAAUUUGGACUAGACCUAGUUUGAUGGUUAAAACUGACUGUAAUAUUGACAAGUUUUUGGUAUGACAUGAAAAGUAUUGAAGUUUAUUGUUCUACAGACUUCUUUCUAGGCUUUAGCUGAGACACAUAUAGGAAUUAUUUUCUUUCUUUAGACAUCUUCACAAAACGUGCAGUAAUAAAAUUUUGUCUUAAACACCUCUACUUUUCUUUGAAUCUGUGUAGAAAUUUGAAUUAUUAGGAACAAGAGAUGAAAAGGGAUAGAAAACAUAGCCAUAAGUUUCCUUCCCCAAGAAAAUAGGUUUAAAGUGUUUGCUAACAGUUGCUAAGACAAACAAUUAUAAAAAAAAAAUAGUUUAUUGCCAUUUCUUGCCUGAGAACCAAAAAGCCAAUUAAUAUUUAAGCAGUCACUUUCCAUCUGCCUAGUCCUGAUUUGUCCACCUGUCAGCAGUGAUCUCCAUCAAAGCUUACCAGGAGGAUGAGCAUCUCUCAGCAGACUCUCCAAGACUGAAGGAAGCCUAUUUCACUAGCAUGGAUAGCACUGUUGUAGCUUUUGUCUUCAGUGCCCAUUGCGCUCUUGGACAGGGUAACAUAAACGAAUAUGCUUCCUCUCACUAGUGAGUGGAGAGCAGCUGCUGAUAAGGGGAAUCAUACAGUGGGAAGGGAAUGAGAUUUUAAGUAAUCUGGGCAAUGACAGCCCUGAGGGUUCUGCAGCUUGUAAGCAGCAUGGACACUCUCUGACCUUGCUUUCUUUGCCUCAUUUCACCUGAUAAAUGAGUGUGGUGCACUGGGAGUUCGGGUCUACCCGCCCACAGCAGUGCAAAUCACUUCACUGAAGGGAUAAUUGAGUAUGUGAGAGGCUCUGCUCAGAGAACUUUCACAUGAUUGCAGUUGCAAAGGGUAACCACUUCCUCAGCCUGUCUGACUGAAAGGUGAGUCAAACAGAGAUCAGUACAGGCACUAACAGAGUAACUAGAGAUGAAAGGAGAAAACCCCACAGCUCAUAAUGAGUGAGGAGACCCACAGCUCUGGUGCACUGACCAAGUGUGUGGUCACUCCAAGUUAGCAUGAUGUGAGUGCAAAUGGACAUGGCUCCCAUUUCUUUGUCCAGAAUAUCACAGGCAGAAAUACGCAUCUCACUGAACCUCCUGCCUGUGCACUGUACAGAUGGCCAGCACAUGUGUGGUAUGUCAG
ensembl:lncRNA